CAUGGAGAGAGGCUUUAGUUGUACAGCAUAAAAUACUGAGGACUUUUCAUUGUUGGGUGGUAUUUGGACAAUAUUUAGCUACUUAAGAUAUUUUAAUUACUGUUAUUUUGUUAGGAAGUUUUUGGUAAUACCUAUUUUUAUUUUUUUUAAUGAAAUUCCUUCUUCAAAGGCUGCACAAGGCUUUGAUGUUCGCAGAGAUCAUAGCAGCUAAAGGAUCUUCCUCUUUCAAAGCAUUGCUACUGCUUUAGGUUCGCCUUCUGUAAAUCUACGUUCCCAAGAGGAAAUAUUCAGAAGUUACUUUCUGUAGGUGGGUGGCUCCCUGCAAACAUUUUGCAUUUGGCUGGAGAGACUCCCUGGUUUGAACAGCUAUUUGUUUCUUUCCUCGUUUCUCGUUUAUGAGGAAAACAUAAAAAUGCUUACUGCACUUAAAGUCAUUCUGGUAAUGCUCUAAAUUCUAUGCUUAAGGAUGCAUUUAAUUAAAGAUUGACUAUGGCAUAAAGUGUAGUUUAAUUAAAUACCAAUCAAUUUCUAUAUAAAAUACAUCUAGAAGGGCUUCGACUCAGAACAUAAAAUGAGUCUCUGAGAGGAGAUUCCCCUCUUCCACAGCUGAAAAAUGACUUCCAACUGCAUUUCCCAGUCAAAAUAGUGAAGUACCUGUAUAAAAACAGUUUGUUGAAGCAGGACCCUGACCUGAUGUUCCUACUGCUUAGAGACUUCCUAUUCAUCCUUUCCCACUGCUGCUUGGGGAUUUCCCUUUUCCAUCCAUCACUGGGAUUUCGGUCAGGUCAUCACCAUUACUUUUCUACCAAUAGCACUGUGACAUAGAGGAUGUUCAGGGCUUGGUGGGACAUUGGCCUGACCUUCUGCAGCUUCUGACAUGGGGUACAGCUGAUGUUAAUGCUGGAAUUUCAGAACGAUAUGUGGAGUUCCUGCUCUUAGAUGUUACACUGAGUCAAGGUAAAGUUUCAAUUCUGACCGAGUCUACUUCUCAAGAGGACUUAAUGUGACUGAUUUUAAGAUGCUCACUGUUCUCCAUGCUCUGUGGUACUUCAGCAAUGUUUAUAUGGUGAAAAGCAAAGUUAUCCAACUUCAGAGUAGUGCCUUAAAAGUGAAGAGAUUAAAACCAAAGGUCUUUUAGAAAAUAUUUUCAGAACUUUUUUGCUGGACGUUCUUAAGUUUAACCUAAUAAAAAUGGAGUUUAAACAUUGGUUUAUACAGGAAGAAAAUUAUUAAUACAGUUUUAAAAUAUUUUCAUUUUCAAGUACAUGCUUCCAUUAAAAUCACCAUUGUUCUUUUAUUUCCCAUAAACCUGUUUACAUCAAUGCUUUCCUUCCAAAAUCUCUUCACAUUACUGGAGCAGUGCCUCUCCCAGGGUCUCAGGGCACCUGGUGAGCAUGACAGGACCCAUUAGAAGUGUUUUUUCCAUUCUGCAGAAGGAGAAAUGAGAGCUAAAAUCAAUCUCAUCUUUGCAUUUGCUCCCUGGCACUAUGUUAGCAGAGGACCAGCUUGACAUGCCUCUGCAUCACUGGAUUGGAGCCAGCAAAGAGAGAAGCUUGCAGAGGUGAAGGCCCUCAAACCCAAGAACUCUGCAUUACUUUGUGUUGGUGCUGUGUCUGAUGCAUGCAUAUGAGGUGUGGGUUGCAGAAAUGAAGUUACCAGUUAAUUGUUCUCCUUGCUGAAAGGCCUGGGUUAGUUGGUGUCAUUACACUAAUUUUUGUACUGUCUUAGUGACCUUCAUAUCAUAUUAACAAUUUUAUAUUAUGUUAGCAAAUUGCUCAGCGAGAGCUGCUAGUCUGAUUGCAUUCUGAAGGUCAUUAAUAUGAUAUGAAAAUCUUAUUGUAUUCUCUGCUUUCAUAUUUUAUUAGUGAUAUGGAAAGCAAUAAAGAGGCUGAUUUUUGCUGGGAGGUUCCCCGGGGAAAGAGGCUCUACAGCAGUGGUGUCCCACAUUGGCUCCUAAUCCAAUCUCAAUGGGAAGUUCAAUUUCCUCAUCAUUAAUUAUUUAGCUGUAUUUAACUGCUGUAAAUUCUCAGAUUAAUUUUUUUAACUGUUGAGUUUGAUGACCUCUAAAGACAUUGGCAUUAACCAAUGCAAUAUGAAAUAUAGUGGCUUAAUGCAAAUAGAAGCUAACUUUUCCACGAGGAUUUGUGUGAAUGCAUAAUAAUGGCAAAUUUAAUUUUUCUGCUAUAACAGUGAAGGCUUAUUGCAUUACCACCUUUGGUGCAAUUUGGCAUCACAAAAUGAAGAAUGGAGGCAGCUGCAGCGUUCCCUUAAGGUGAAUGUGGCUGGGCCUGGUGCUGCCAACACACAUCCAGGUCUCCCAUCAGUGAUCUUGAGUCACUCAGGUCUUGGUUUGGAUUCCUAAAAAUUUUAGUUCCCACGUAAUGUAGAGCAAUGAAGUCCUCACAUGUGUAGUGAUGGGUUAAAUUGUCUUCAGUCUCCUGAAAGAGCCAAAGGUGAGGGCAAUAAUCUUUGAGCAGUUUUCAUUAACAACAAAACUUUAAUCUUGAAGAAAGUUUGAAACAGUGAAGACUUGAUAGAAAAGAAAGGUCAUCGCUUGCAAAGACAAACGAUUUUUGAAGUUAACAACAUGCUGUAUUAAAAUUACUUCAGUCAAAACGAUAAAAGUUUGUUAUUAACAAUGACAGUAGCUUGUUUUGUGCUUUAACAGUGUUGUGGCUCCUUAAUUACCGGACUGAUGGUGGAGAGGAAACUCCUCUGGUGGCUGUCGUGCACGAGAGUUUGUAGGAGUUGUGCCAACUGAUAAAAGCUGAAUGUCUACAAGAUGAGAUUUUUCUUUUCGACAUACAAGUCCUGCCCAAGCAUUUUCUUCCAAAAACACGUUGCCAGUGUGUCAGAGCCAGGACAUGGGCAAGUUGUACAUUUAAUUGUUAAAUGUUCUGAUGACUUGUGUGAGAGUGAAACCAGACUUAUUAUGUCCAAAUGCUGCUUUGUAACAUGAUUUUGCCAAACAGUGCAUUUCUGUGUUUGAUUUUAACUUUUUUUUCUCUGCCACCAUAUAAGACCAUUCCAAGUUCUUUGGCUUCAGUGACAUAACAGCAGCAACCUCAGCAUAUGGAAUGUGCUUGCAAAACUAAUUUGGAAUUGAUUCACUUGGUAGAAGCUUCAGGACAGUUAGACUGGAGUGUCCUGCAGCCUUGUGGAAAUCCCAUUGGCUUUCUCCAUUGUUCUGCACGGUGCUGGAACACGGCGCUUUGGUGCACAGCAAACAAAACACAUGGUACACCUGAUGAGUAUCAGUACUGAGGGAGAUGCUCUGUAUUUAUAGCAAGGGAUGCUGUGCCUGCUUGAACUAUGGAGAAACAAAACCUAAAUGAAAUUUCCUAGCUUGAUGAAAAUUUGAGCAAGGAUUGAGUUAUAAAACCCCAAACCUGAUCAAUGUACUUUUAGGUACAUCUUGAUGCGGAGCGUGUGUCAUCCACGAAUCUGCAUUAUUAUUGUUGCUUUGCAGUGCUGCUGGCCGUGCUGCAGGUGGCGAUGCUGCACCAGAACUGUACCGAGCUCCAGAAAAUCAAGAAUUUUGCAAAAAUUCUUUCUGCCUUUCGUACAGGAGAUAGGAACGCAUCCAGCAUGGUACCGGUUAAUAUUGUCUUAGACGAUGGUUUGGGAAUACCAAUGGGAGAAAUCGGACAACUGUGUGUAGCCAUGAGCAGUCAGCUGGAGACAUUUGGACACUUGAAAGAUCCUCAAAAACUGCUUUUGGAGGACCUUGAGCCCGUGCUGCAAGGAGUGAGCAUCUCCAGGAGAGCUUUCCUCUUGCUGGCACAAAUCGCUGCACCCUGAGCUCCCAUGUGUCGCCGGCUCUGCUGGGCUGCCCCUGUUCUCUGCUCCCACUCCGCUGCUUUGACUGAGCCCUAAAAUCUGAUCUGGCUUGGAAUGGGCUAUGCCAGGAAGCAAAUACAAAAAGCAGGUCCAGUCAUUCAAGCAUGCUCCAUGUCAACCAUCCUCCCUGCAUGGAGGACAACCACAAAACUGAGUUCCAGCUGAAGCUUUUGGAGAAGAAUACAAGUACAGCUUAAAAUGCGUAGUAUCUUUGUGUAGUAAUUCCUAUGAUUUCUACUUCCACAGGAAUUGUGGCAUGUACAUGUACCUGCUCAUGUGUUUGUGAUAAGGGUGACCUUGCUGGCCAAGGGGUCAGUGCUACACUUUUUGGGAUGCAGACUGGUCUGGGGGCCUUGUGGCUGAUUUCUUGUCUUUAGGAGGCAAAUCUUCUACAACUAAACUCCAGCCUUUCACCUCUGAGGAAGCUUAUCGCUUUCGAGAAUUUCUAAAAUCACUUUAUAUAGUUAGUUUCAUGAUUAACAAUGUCAAAACGCUCAGGGAGAGAGAGAGACAAUAAACAUGAAAGCAUCAAAAGAUGGUUUUUGAAGCUAAUGUAAUUAUGUGUGUUCCACAUAUUGUGUGGAACUCCUUGUUUCAAGAGGUCAGCAGAGUUUAAAACUACGGGAGAAGCCAAAGAAAGAUUAGGCACAGAUUUGAGUCAUUAAUAUUUUCUUAUUUCCAUGAGGAUGUAAUGUAUUUAUGGCUGCAUUUGAAAAAAAAGUCACUAUAGCUUAGUACCAAAGCCAAGGCUACAGCAUCUGUAUUCCCUGGUACCUUUGCUUUCAGAAGUUUCUUGGUCACAGUACCAAGACCUCAACUCCACCAUUCAAUGAGAAGGAGUAAGGAUAUUACUGUUAUUUACAAUUCUUGAUAUAGCUCAUAGUCCCUUGCCAGCUUUCUUCCUGCAAUGCUCACUUGAGCCUGAAUGAUCUCUUCUUGUCAAGAAACCAGAUUAGUUUUUAUAGUUUUAGGUUAUGCACCAUUUAGGGACAUAUGGGAGAGCUGUCUUCAGCCUCAGAGAUAAUGCUACAUCAGACAUGUUUAAAUCUCCUUCCUUGAAGCAACUGUACCUUGUGUACACAACCUACCACUGCACAGAUGUUGUGGACAAGCACUGAUGGCUGUAUAUAUGUUGGCUGUAUUCUGCAUUGGUUCUGCUGUUCUCAGUAGCCAUUUAACACCACUCCAAAAGGACUCAGUAUAUGGUGCAAAAUAACAUGUGCGUUUGGUUCCCACUUUGGUACGUGGUUGUUCUUCUGUGGUCCCAAACGUUUCCUUCCAAGGGUGACCCUGAGAGAAGGAAGACUGGCUCUUUCUCCAUCUUUUGGUGAUGUGACAAUUCCCUAACUUCCAACACUUUUUAAAAAGCCUCAAAGACAUUUGAUGAUAGAUAGACAUAAGCUAGCCUUUCCCAUCAUAUCCAUCUCCUGUUAAACCAUGAGCAGCUGCUAUACGAGCACCCACGUGACAGAGGUUUUAGGAAUAUCAGUGACAGAAUAUUUGCAGAUUUAUUUUCUCUGCCAUUGCAGCAGAAAAUCCUCAGUCAUGUGAAUUUCUCCUCUAGCUGUUUAUCUGCGUGGUCCUUGGAGUGGGAGAACUCGGACUGCAGGGAACGAGGCGUGUUGGCUGCCGGCCUUCAGGAGGUACCAAUGGUAAAAGAGGGAAAUCCUUGGCUUUUUGGUCAACAGUGCGUGAGUUUGGAGGGUGGAGGGCUGAAAGCCAUAGAAUUUGUAUUGCUUUUGUGAGAAAGAUAUGGGCAUGAGAAACAGGCUGAUUUCAUGGACUUCUAGCCCAGCUGAACUCCAUUUUAAUAUCUGUAAAGAAAUUUAAACCCAGAUUAACCUCAACCAGACUCAGAUUUCAUUGUGAACAUUUUUUACAGCUGUUCAGAGUUUUCUGCUGUUCCAAAGAACAAUUAAUUCUGGUAUCAAUAAUUUGUUUCUUCAAAGAGUUUAUCCAGAUGGUUAUCGAGACAGUUUAUAUUUCCAUAAUUGAAAUCGUAUUUGACUGCUGUUGAACCCUCGGUAUUUUUUUUGGUUUGUGGGUACUUUUCCCUACUGCAUUACUUAGUCUAUAUUUGUCAGUCUAAGCAGUCGCUGGUCUCAUUUCAUAGCUGGAGAUCCGGCACCGCUGCUUUGAGCAUGCACGACGUGCGGUGUCGCGGUCCGGAUCCCGCUUUGUGCUCCUACCUCCUGGAGAUGCCCCCGUGAAAAGAAAGGAAAUUGCUUUUGGAUAACAUCGCUAUCCUGUCCCAGCUGGCAUUGGCUGGUGCAGAUAUGUGUUUACAUUUUGCUUUGAAAAUGUAAACACUAAUUAGGCAUUAAUAGGUCCCGGUUCUGGCAGGCAGGAGGCAGGGCUCUGCUUGGGGCUCUGCCCUGGCUGCAGUCCAUGUCACCCCGUUCGCUAUCUGUGUUUCCUGGCACAAAAUGGGGAUAAUUGUUUAUCCCUUUCCAAAGAGGGAGGGAAGGGACACCGGUGUGGGUCACCUAAGGACGACAUAUGUGAAAAGAACCGAACUGUCACAUCAGCACUGUGAUAGGAUGGGAGCAGUUUGUAGUUCUGUAGUGCCAUAGGAUGAGUGCAAGAGGUAUCUGGCAGCUUUGGCCAGCAGAUGCAACUCAGCAUCUAGUCCUGCUGUGGUCCAGAUUUCAGUUCUAAUUUGCUAUGUAAAAUAUUUUGUUAUUCUUGUUCCUAAUGUAUUCCCUUUUUGUGUACCACUGUGCAAUGAAACGGUCACUGUGGUGCUGCUGCCGGCCCUGGCGUGGUUUUUCCCAUGGCCAUUUUGGGUCUUUGGGUGCAGCUUUUGCAUUUCCUUCACAGGCCCGCCAGAGCAACCAGCAGCCGUUCUAAUUAGGCGAACGUAAUUCCUCGCGAACCGGCCCUUCUCCUUUGUGAGCCCAUAGAUCUGCAGAAAGAAUAAAAGAGCACUGAUUGCCUCCUCCUUGCAGCCCUUCCACUGAUGAGGAGUGUUGCUACACCUAAUAAAUUAAAGGACACAAAGUUAAUGAAUUUUUCAUUUGAACUCGCAGCUAGGUAUGGAUUAGCGAGGCUGACGUUACUGAAGAGCUCAGAAUGAGGAAGGGUCCUACAGGGACAUUUUCCUCCUUACUGAAAUCUUUUCAGUCACCUUUUCAAGUAUUAUCUUGCUCUGUAGAAAGAGCUCUUUUAACCGUGCAUAGCCUGUGGGGUCUGCUUUCUGUCCGCAGCAGAAAUGUGAUCAUUCAUUUUGUUUGUCUAAUGGAUAAAAAUAAAGGGCAAUGUGAAUGACGUUCAGGCAGCCCCUCUGCUGAAAGAGAAGGGAUUCAGAGGAUCUGGAGCAGCACUCUGGAGCAGGCCUUUAUUAGGCAUAAAUGCUCCCAAUUCCUUUAAGUUCCAGUGUACAACAUUUACACCAGCUGAAGGUUUCCUUUCUUCUCCCUUGGGCAGUGGGGUGAGCUGCAGAAGGCUUGGGCUUAGAAUAAAACUACAAUCAAUUUAUUAAAAAAAAAAAAGUUAGAUGAAUGUCAAAGGACCUGUAUUAUUUGGAAUUAUUUUCCUGCAGUCCAUAAAUUUCAAAGGAUUUCAGCUACUUUAAUGUAAACUGAUUUCUGUCUGAGGCUUCUGAGUGGUAGAUUCAGUGAGAACCAGCACGUGUGCUUCCCUCCCAGCAGCUUUGCAUUCUUCUGUUUAGGGUACAAAUUAUGUCCUUUGGUUUUAAUGCUUGCUUGCUGUUUGAUGCUCUGAAAUAGUUUAAUUAAAAGGGAGAAUCAAAACCAAAGCAAAAACAAAGGAAAAUGCAAAGAACUGGAGCCCAGUCUUGGGAAACUCAUAACGUUCAGUUGGAAUUUGGAUACCAAAUGCUUUCCUAACCUGUAAAGCAGUGUCACAUUUCAAUUCAGCUGGCAGGUAUUACCCUCUCUCCUUCACCCCAACAAAUUAUUUUCUGGUCUAUCAGCAAGUAUUUAAAAAAUAAAAGAAUUGGUGGUGAACAGUUAUUGUGCCAUUGGACUUGGCUACGCUUGCACCAGGUGUCACGUGAGGGAAUUCAAAAGACUGGUGAGGGUGGAGGGAAGCAGGCCUAGGGAUGAAUGGAGAGAAGGAAAUAGUUUUUUACAAAAAAGGUGGUGAGGCUCUGGAAUGGGUUGGCUGCAGAGCUGGUGGGUGUGCACCUGAUGGAGGUGUCCCUGCUCACAGCAGGGGACUUGCUGUAGGUGACCUUUCAGUGUCCUUCCAACUCAAACGAUUCUAU